AACAACAGGACUAGCCAAGAUGUCGUGAUUCUGGACCUGUGCGUCUGCCUGAGUGACCUGAAUGUCAAUCUGAUAACUAACACAAGAGUUGGGUCACAGGGAGCUGGAACCUAUCCCAGCUGACAUUGGGUUAAAGGCAAAUUACACCCGAGACUGGUCACCAGUCAACCACAGGUCUAAUAUCAAGAAAGAAAACCAUUCACACAGUCACCGAAUGGGAACCGAGCCCACGCUGCCUGUACGGAAGUCAAAAUACAGCACCAUUCGAAUUGGAUUCCAUGCUUUGUGUGGGGCAGCUCACCUUCCUGAGACCCUGAGACCCUCGUGACUCUACCACCCUCAUCACACGACGGAGUUGGUGAGCACCUUGCGCCAGAUGACUAACAAACACAGUGUGCUUCAGUGAUUUUGACAUUGGAAAUCAAUCAAAUAAAAACACAUGAAAGGAGGAGCCGAUGAGGAAAGACAUUACGAUACAAAGAUAACAAUCACAAAAUGAUUCAUACUUGUUCUCAACGCAGGCACUUAUCAUACCGGAAUGCUUUUGAUUAUGCUAGACGUGGCCAUGACCUUCAGAAUUGCACAAAAGGUCAAAAUUGUCAGAUAGGUAUAGAAUUAGAAUCAGCCAAAAAAGAUGACUAUAUGGAACAAAACGUUUGACUCUGCAGUUUUGUCAUUUCCAUGCAGUUUGAACGUCACUUGAGAGGCCGAACCCUUUAGUGAGUUGAAAAGCAAUACUGACACCUACUGGCGAAACAUUCUAACGCAGCUUGAGUUCAAAAAGCCUGGUAAAUAGUUGCUCACUGUUUAACUUGCUAAAGUCCCACUUUUCCC